CCUAACCCUUAUUGAGAUAUCCUUAGCUAAGUGUUUACUAACCCUUUGGGAUUUUAGCACCAUGAGGGUUCUCAACAUUAUUUUGGUGCUCUUUGUUCUUCUUACCAUAGUGCAUGUAAAACAAAACAUGGCUGCUAGGGUCUUGAAUAUGGAGAAUAUCCCACUUAGGUUGCAAUCUCUUAAUAAGGGUCCUGUCCCUCCCUCAGGACCUUCUGGUUGCACAUACAUCCCAGGCUCUGGCAGCACGCAUUGUCCGGCCAAGAAAAUGAAUGGCACCGGCCGGCAACGCUAAGCACCACUAGCUAGGGUGGUGCUGAAACAAUUCAACACUGAUGUAUGAUGCCCCCUCAAACAUUGAAGUCUUUUCAAUUUGCUGGUUAAAGUUGAUCGAUCAGAGCAAAUUUUGUUGAGGGAGAACUCAAAGAACCUGUUUGUGUGUAACAAAUGAUGAUUCGUAGCUAGCAAGGGUUCUAUGGUCGGUCCGCCACCACCGGAUGCCAAAGGCGUCCUUGGAGUGAUCUCAUAGUUCUUAUGAGGUGGUUGGGGUAGAGAAUCCAUCACUAUCUUGGCUGUGCUAUCGAAGGCUCCAGAAAAGUUGGAAUAGGAAAGCACUAUGAAAAAAAUAUAUAGGAAUAAAAGAUAGAAUAUAGGAAAAAGAAAAAAAAAUGUUGAGGUUGUGAAAGAUAUUCUACUAAAAAUAUUUUUAGAAAUUCUAAUAAAAUUUGUAAUAUGAAUACCCUUAGCUUUACAUAUAUAUAAGGUGACAUUUUAGGAUUCUACAAUAUAACUAUUGUAUUUGUUGAACAAAGCAAUCAAACAAAAGAAAUAAAGAAAUACCUUUUGAGUUGUUCUUGCUCAA